GACGAACGCUGGCGGCGUGCUUAACACAUGCAAGUCGAACGGUGAAGCGCCUUCCUUUUUGGUGGGUGUGGAUGAGUGGCGAACGGGUGAGUAACACGUGAGUAACCUGCCCCCUUCUUCUGGAUAACCGCAUGAAAGUGUGGCUAAUACGGGAUAUUCUGGGUCUGUCGCAUGAUGGGUCUGGGAAAGAUAUUGUUUCGGUGGGGGAUGGGCUCGCGGCCUAUCAGCUUGUUGGUGGGGUGAUGGCCUACCAAGGCGGUGACGGGUAGCCGGCCUGAGAGGGUGGACGGUCACACUGGGACGGAGACACGGCCCAGACUCCUACGGGAGGCAGCAGUGGGGAAUAUUGCACAAUGGGCGCAAGCCUGAUGCAGCGACGCCGCGUGAGGGAUGGAGGCCUUCGGGUUGUGAACCUCUUUCGCCAGUGAAGCAGGCCUGCCUCGUUUGUGGGUGGGUUGACGGUAGCUGGGUAAGAAGCGCCGGCUAACUACGUG
rnacentral:rRNA from 1 species